rnacentral:rRNA from 1 species
GGUUAAGCGACUAAGCGUACACGGUGGAUGCCCUGGCAGUCAGAGGCGAUGAAGGACGUGCUAAUCUGCGAUAAGCGUCGGUGAGGUGAUAUGAACCGUUAUAACCGGCGAUUUCCGAAUGGGGAAACCCAGUGUGUUUCGACACACUAUCAUUAACUGAAUCCAUAGGUUAAUGAGGCGAACCGGGGGAACUGAAACAUCUAAGUACCCCGAGGAAAAGAAAUCAACCGAGAUUCCCCCAGUAGCGGCGAGCGAACGGGGAGGAGCCCAGAGCCUGAAUCAGUGUGUGUGUUAGUGGAAGCGUCUGGAAAGGCGUGCGAUACAGGGUGACAGCCCCGUACACAAAAAUGCACAUAUUGUGAGCUCGAUGAGUAGGGCGGGACACGUGGUAUCCUGUCUGAAUAUGGGGGGACCAUCCUCCAAGGCUAAAUACUCCUGACUGACCGAUAGUGAACCAGUACCGUGAGGGAAAGGCGAAAAGAACCCCGGCGAGGGGAGUGAAAAAGAACCUGAAACCGUGUACGUACAAGCAGUGGGAGCCUCUUAAUGGGGUGACUGCGUACCUUUUGUAUAAUGGGUCAGCGACUUAUAUUCUGUAGCAAGGUUAACCGAAUAGGGGAGCCGAAGGGAAACCGAGUCUUAACUGGGCGUUAAGUUGCAGGGUAUAGACCCGAAACCCGGUGAUCUAGCCAUGGGCAGGUUGAAGGUUGGGUAACACUAACUGGAGGACCGAACCGACUAAUGUUGAAAAAUUAGCGGAUGACUUGUGGCUGGGGGUGAAAGGCCAAUCAAACCGGGAGAUAGCUGGUUCUCCCCGAAAGCUAUUUAGGUAGCGCCUCGUGAAUUCAUCUCCGGGGGUAGAGCACUGUUUCGGCAAGGGGGUCAUCCCGACUUACCAACCCGAUGCAAACUGCGAAUACCGGAGAAUGUUAUCACGGGAGACACACGGCGGGUGCUAACGUCCGUCGUGAAGAGGGAAACAACCCAGACCGCCAGCUAAGGUCCCAAAGUCAUGGUUAAGUGGGAAACGAUGUGGGAAGGCCCAGACAGCCAGGAUGUUGGCUUAGAAGCAGCCAUCAUUUAAAGAAAGCGUAAUAGCUCACUGGUCGAGUCGGCCUGCGCGGAAGAUGUAACGGGGCUAAACCAUGCACCGAAGCUGCGGCAGCGACGCUUAUGCGUUGUUGGGUAGGGGAGCGUUCUGUAAGCCUGUGAAGGUGUGCUGUGAGGCAUGCUGGAGGUAUCAGAAGUGCGAAUGCUGACAUAAGUAACGAUAAAGCGGGUGAAAAGCCCGCUCGCCGGAAGACCAAGGGUUCCUGUCCAACGUUAAUCGGGGCAGGGUGAGUCGACCCCUAAGGCGAGGCCGAAAGGCGUAGUCGAUGGGAAACAGGUUAAUAUUCCUGUACUUGGUGUUACUGCGAAGGGGGGACGGAGAAGGCUAUGUUGGCCGGGCGACGGUUGUCCCGGUUUAAGCGUGUAGGCUGGUUUUCCAGGCAAAUCCGGAAAACCAAGGCUGAGGCGUGAUGACGAGGCACUACGGUGCUGAAGCGACAAAUGCCCUGCUUCCAGGAAAAGCCUCUAAGCAUCAGGUAACAUCAAAUCGUACCCCAAACCGACACAGGUGGUCAGGUAGAGAAUACCAAGGCGCUUGAGAGAACUCGGGUGAAGGAACUAGGCAAAAUGGUGCCGUAACUUCGGGAGAAGGCACGCUGAUAUGUAGGUGAAGCGACUUGCUCGUGGAGCUGAAAUCAGUCGAAGAUACCAGCUGGCUGCAACUGUUUAUUAAAAACACAGCACUGUGCAAACACGAAAGUGGACGUAUACGGUGUGACGCCUGCCCGGUGCCGGAAGGUUAAUUGAUGGGGUUAGCGGCAACGCGAAGCUCUUGAUCGAAGCCCCGGUAAACGGCGGCCGUAACUAUAACGGUCCUAAGGUAGCGAAAUUCCUUGUCGGGUAAGUUCCGACCUGCACGAAUGGCGUAAUGAUGGCCAGGCUGUCUCCACCCGAGACUCAGUGAAAUUGAACUCGCUGUGAAGAUGCAGUGUACCCGCGGCAAGACGGAAAGACCCCGUGAACCUUUACUAUAGCUUGACACUGAACAUUGAGCCUUGAUGUGUAGGAUAGGUGGGAGGCUUUGAAGUGUGGACGCCAGUCUGCAUGGAGCCGACCUUGAAAUACCACCCUUUAAUGUUUGAUGUUCUAACGUUGGCCCGUAAUCCGGGUUGCGGACAGUGUCUGGUGGGUAGUUUGACUGGGGCGGUCUCCUCCUAAAGAGUAACGGAGGAGCACGAAGGUUGGCUAAUCCUGGUCGGACAUCAGGAGGUUAGUGCAAUGGCAUAAGCCAGCUUGACUGCGAGCGUGACGGCGCGAGCAGGUGCGAAAGCAGGUCAUAGUGAUCCGGUGGUUCUGAAUGGAAGGGCCAUCGCUCAACGGAUAAAAGGUACUCCGGGGAUAACAGGCUGAUACCGCCCAAGAGUUCAUAUCGACGGCGGUGUUUGGCACCUCGAUGUCGGCUCAUCACAUCCUGGGGCUGAAGUAGGUCCCAAGGGUAUGGCUGUUCGCCAUUUAAAGUGGUACGCGAGCUGGGUUUAGAACGUCGUGAGACAGUUCGGUCCCUAUCUGCCGUGGGCGCUGGAGAACUGAGGGGGGCUGCUCCUAGUACGAGAGGACCGGAGUGGACGCAUCACUGGUGUUCGGGUUGUCAUGCCAAUGGCACUGCCCGGUAGCUAAAUGCGGAAGAGAUAAGUGCUGAAAGCAUCUAAGCACGAAACUUGCCCCGAGAUGAGUUCUCCCUGACUCCUUGAGAGUCCUGAAGGAACGUUGAAGACGACGACGUUGAUAGGCCGGGUGUGUAAGCGCAGCGAUGCGUUGAGCUAACCGGUACUAAUGAACCGUGAGGCUUAACCUU